rnacentral:rRNA from 1 species
GGAUCAAGGGAUCGGUCAUGCCUUGGUAUGUACUGGUCUUAUUGGUUCUCACCUUCUAAAGAACCAUGAUGUCAUUCAUUUGAUGUUAUGGGGAAUUAGGACUGGUUUUACCUUGAAAAAUUAGAGUGUUUAAAGCAAGCUUACGCUUGAAUACAUUAGCAUGGAAUAAUGAAAUAGGACAUCAGAUUCUAUUUUGUUGGUUUCUAGGAUCGAUGUAAUGAU